GCUGGGGUCAGACGGUUAGCUUUCCUCAGAGGAAAUCGUUCCAUGUGUAGCUGACGGUUCCGUGUGUCAGUGGGAGGACGUGACUGAGGAUCUGAGGUCGCUGUCUGAACUCGAUUUUCAAAAUGGCCAUCAUGAGUAUGCAAUGAGAAAAAUGUGAAGUGCUUAGAACAGUGCUUGAAACUGGGGUCCAGGACUCCGGGGUUUCCCAGAGAACAAGACACACAGACACGGAGAUGAAAAUCCAAGCAAAGUCUUUAUUCAGCCAGCAAGCUGGGGUCGACAGCACCUCCCCUGACACGCAGGCCGAGUCCGAGCUGCUGAUCCCCAAGCAACUUUAGGUAUGGUUUAUAUGGGAUUUCUACAGUCAUUGCACCGGAGCCUGAACAUUACCCCAACCAACGAAUUUGAAAC